AGAUUAAAGGCAUGGGCCAUGGUGCUUAGCUAAAGAGGCAUCUUUUUUUUUUUUUAAGAAGAUAGAUUGAUUUAUUUGAAAAGUAAAAUUACUCGGUAGUAUUUAGUUUGAGAACUGGGGGUAGGCCUGUGUGAUUGGCAGUGGCAGCUGGAAACACACCAGCAAACACAAAAGCAAGCACCAGAAAGUGGUAAAAUGUUUUUAAAAAGGAGACUGAAAUGGCGCAGACCUGCCAUCGCCGCCUCCCUCCCUCUUUUAAGAAUGGUUUUAAUACAAAAUUAGGGCCUAGGAGAUGGCUCAGUCACUACAGUUCAUUCCAUGCAAACUCAAGGACCUGAUUUGAUCCUCAGAAUCCACAUAAGAAAUCUGGGUGCAGUACACACUUGUAAUCCCAGCACUGGGGAGGCAGAGAUGAAUAAAUUCCUGGGGCUCCCGGGUCACCCAGCCUAGCCUACUCAGUGAGGACAAAGUCAAUGAGAGGCCCUGUCUCAGUGAAGAAACUGUCAUUCUAAAAAUGACACCCUCCCUCACAAACACACAUACACACUUGUGUACACACACACAUACACACACACACAAAGCAUAAUACUAGAAAAAAAUAAUCAUCACUUGCAAGUGAGGUGUAAGUGAUUUUAAUGCGUUCAGAAGAGUAACCACGACUAAUUCAUUUUAAAGACUCAUCUGCAUCUCAAUGAUGGCAUCACAUUUCCUAGGAGCCAUCUAGAGGAAGGGGAAUGAUGAGAGGAGAGACCACAUGUUCUCAGCAUUCCUAGCAUUCUGUGCUCAGCAUCCUAGGCUCAGCUUUCCUGUUCAUCCUUGACUGCAGCACUUCCCACUUUGAUUAAGAACUCUCUCAGCAGCCUUCUGACUAAGAGAACAUCCCCAUUCUGCUUCUCUGACUGCACUGCUCAGCUAGGGAAGCUGAGCGUUCACACAGUUCACACCGCCACAGUCUUUGAUCUGGGGAGGUCUGCUAGUCCAGCACUGAGCAAGAGGCAUGUUCAGUCAAGACAUUCUGAAAUUCUGGGGCAGACCAUUUGCAGGCCCAUUUUAUUAAUAAAAAUAUUACAUUUA